AAAAUAAAAAAGAUAUAAAUAAAAAGAAUAAAGAAUAAAGAGAAUAGGUGAGGUAAUUGAAAACUAACGAUAUUAAUCAAAAUAUUAAAGUAUGGAACAUAAAAUUAUAAUUAAUAAAAGACAAAGAUAAGGUUAAACCAAUCUAAACUAGAAAUAGUAAAAAAGAUAAAAAUAUCUGAACUGAAACAUCUAAGUAAGAUAUAAAUAAACCAAUAGGGACUAUAAAAUUACCGGUGAGGGAAAUUAUAGGAGUAUAAAAGUAAUAUCAUAUGAUAUAAAAAUAGUAGUACUACUACUAAUACUAAAAAAUAAUUAUAAAUAUCAAGUACCGCGAGGGAACAUGUAAUAAAAAUCAUUGAAUAUUAAUAAAAAUUAUUUAUAUAUAUAUAAUAAUAUUUAAAUGAAAUUUAUAUAACUUAUAAUAUAAUAAAUAUAUAAUUAUUAAUAAAUAAUUAAAUAAGAAUUAUAUAAAAAAAGAAUAUAAAAAGUAGAUAUAAAUAAAAUAUAAAUGAAAAUCAAUGAAGAAAUACUUUAAUAAAGAGCAACUAUAGAAUAGUGUACCUCUUGUAUAAUGGGUCAGUGAGUUAUUAUUAUUAGCGAAAUAAUAAAAUUAUAUAUAAUAAGAUAAAGUUAAGAAUAAUAGACCCGAAAGUAUAUGAUCUAUACAUUAUCAGGUAUAUUAUAAUUAUAAUAUAUAUAAUAUAUGAAAAUAUAUAAAAAUAUAUAUUUAAAUUAAAUUAAAUAUAAAAAGAAUGUAAAGAUAUAAAAUAUUUAAUAUAAGAAUAAAUAUAAUAUGACCGAACAGGUAGGUGUAGCAAUACCUUCUGAAGAAUAAUGUAUUGAAGUGAAAGGCAAAUCUAAUAUACAGAUAGCUGGUUAUCUGCGAAAUAUAUCUUAGUAUAGCAUUUAAUAAUUUAUAACACUAGGUAAAUCACUAGAUUUGAAGAUUAAAAAAUAUAUAUAAUAUAAUAUAAUAUAUAUAUAUUUUUUUAUAUGGGAGUUAUUAUAAUUUAUCAUACGAAUCUAAUAUCUGAACUAGAUGUAAUAUAAAAAUUAAAUAGUCAAUCAUAGUGCGAUAAGGUACUAUGAUUAAAAGGAAACAACCUAGACUGUAAAAUGUAAGUCCUUAACUAUCAUUAAGUGGUAUCAAUCUUAUAUUAUUUAUAUAAUAAAUAUAUAUAAAUAAAUUUCUAAUAAGACAAUUAAUCAGUGGAUAUGAUAGUAAUCAUCUGCUAGAGAACGUGUAACAACGCAUUAAUAGAUAUAUAGAGAAUAAGAGUAGAUAUACGGGCCUAUAAAGAUAGACUGAAUUACAGAUAAUAAUAUAAAAUAAAAAUUAUUAUGGUAGCAGAUUACACUAUGAGAAUAGUGAAGAAUAUGCUGACUUGAGUAACGUUAGUAGGGUUAAACCCUACCUCCUAUAAAUAUAAGGUUUUACAAAAAUUAACGGUCUCUAAUUUAUUAUAUGAUAAUAUAUAUAAAGAUGAGUAUAAUUACUAGAAAUUAAAUUAACCGUACCGUAAACCGACUCAGGUAUAUUUAUUAUUCUUAUAUUAUUAAUUAUAUUAAUUAAUUUUAAUAUAAAUUAUAUAAUAAGAAUAAUUAUAUUAUAAUAUAAAUUUAUAAAUAUCUCAUAAAUUAUAAAUUAAAAAAUAUAAAUAAAGAUUAUAUAAAAUAAGAAGAAGAAUAAGAAGGAGGAUGAGAAAAUCCAUAUAAAUGAACUCGGCAAUUAAGGUUAAACCCUUAAAAUAUAGUGCGACUGUUUACCAAAAACGUAGCCUAUUGCAGAUCUGUAAAGAUUAGUAUAAUAGGUGCUACCUGCCCAGUGUUAGAAAGAUAAUAUAUAAUGUUUUAAUUAACGGCGGUCUUAUUAUGAGGAUCCGAAGGUAGCGAAAUUCCUAGACGUUUAAUUGGCGUCCUGCAUGAAUGAGUACACGAUGCUAUAAUUGUAUCUAUAUGGGUCUCAGUGAAAUAGUAUUUGCAGUGAAGAUACUGUAUAACAAUAGAUUGACGAGAAGACCCUAUACAGCUUUACUAUAGUGUUAUCUUAAUAUAAUUAUAUUUAAUAUAAUGUAAUUUAUAAUAAUUAUAAUUUAUUUAAUCAUCACUUAUAUCUUAUAAUAAUAAAAUAUUUUCUUUUACAUAUUUAUAUUAAUAAUCUAAUAAAUUAAUAUUAAAUGAAAAUAAUAAUAAAAUAGAGAUAUAUAUUUUAUAAUAUGAGACAGGGUAACAUGGUUAGUUUCGAUGGGGCGUCGACAUCACAAAAUAUAACUGAUGUGUCUAUAUGACUAAAUUGUAAUAUAUUUUUAAAUUUAUUUAAGUUUAUUCUUAAAUAUAUAAAAAUUUAAAGAUUAUAAUAGUAUAUUAAAAUACAGUAAUGCUAAAUGGUAAUUAGUUAUUCUUUAUAUAAUAUAUAAUAUUAUUAUAAUUAAUUAAUAAUAUUUAUAUAAAGAAAUGUUAAAUAUAAUAAUAUAACUGUGUUAAGAUAAUUUAAUUAACAAAUUAAAUUAGUACGUAAGUAUAGUAUAGUGAACAGGCAAUAACUAAGUAUAGUAUGUCGAUAGCGAAUCAAAGUUACGUUAGGGAUAACAGGGUAAUACCGCUAGAGAGUUGAUAUCGUCAGCGGUGUUUGCCACCUCGAUGUCGUCUAGGCUCAACCUUAUGGCCGCAGCAGCUAUAAAGGGCAUGACUGUUCGUCAUAUAAAGAGCUACUUGAGAUGGGUUAAUUACGGCGUGAGCCAGUAAUGUUUCUAUCAUCUAUUGUAUUAUAAUAAACUUUAAAUUACAUGUGUACGAGAGGAUUAUGUAGUCUAAACCUAUGGUUAUAAUAUAUUAUUAUAUAUUUAUUUUUAUUAUAUUUUAUUAUAAUUCUAGAAUAUAUAUAUAUAUUAUUAUAUGCUAAGUUUAGUUGAGGUAAAUAUUGACUGCAUAUCAAAUAUGAAACCUAUAAUAGUUUAUUAUUAACAUUAAAGAUAAUUAUGUUAUAGUAUUAUUAUUGUUUUUAUACAUUAAUAUUGUAUAUAUAUAAAAUUAUAUAUAUAAAUUAAUUAUAAAUAAUAGAUAUA
rnacentral:rRNA from 1 species